GGGGGCUUCAUUUUUUCAUUCAUGCCUUUUUUUUUGUUUAGGGCCAUUUUUGUUGUGUUCUGUUCGCCUGUUGCAAAGGAUGAGAUGACUGCUGAGCGUGUUUUUGGUGCAUGUCGUGUACGAGACUGCAGAGUGUGUUUGUUUGGGGCGCAUGUCGUGUACGAGACUGCAGAGUGUGUUUGGGGUGCAUGUCGUUUACAAGGCUGCUCCACCGUGCUCAUCUGAAGUGGUCUUCUGAAGAUGCCUUCAACAAACUAAUUAAUGCUAUAAAACUAAAGCUAAUUAAUCCUAUUAAAACUUCAUACAAACUAUCUCCUUUGUGACUGGCUGGAUGUGGCAGUGUUUCAUUGUCAGGUCACCUUCGUGAUCAAAUACGUUCUAGAGCACUGCUGACAUCAUGUGUUAAUUGAACUGAGCUGAAUCUUCAUUCAGGAACAACGGAUUACUGGGUGUCUUAACCACACUCUAAAUAUACAGCAUUUCCUGCUGGGUGAGAGCGAAUAACACCUUGACAUGAUUGAACUUUAUGAACUAAAUUCAGUUGUUUCACUCUAAGGUAUCACUCUAAGGUAUCACUCUGAGGUAUCACUCUAAGGUAUCACUCUAAGGUAUCACUCUAAGGUAUCACUCUUGGUAUCACUCUAAUGUAUCACUCUAAGGUAUCACUCUUGGUAUCACUCUUGGUAUCACUCUAAGGUAUCACUCUAAGGUAUCACUCUUGGUAUCACUCUUGGUAUCACUCUAAGGUAUCACUCUAAGGUAUCACUCUAAGGUAUGACUCUAAGGUAUCACUCUUGGUAUGACUCUAAGGUAUCACUCUAAGGUAUCACUCUAAGGUAUCACUCUUGGUAUCACUCUUGGUAUCACUCUUGGUAUGACUCUAAGGUAUCACUCUAAGGUAUCACUCUAAGGUAUCACUCUUGGUAUGACUCUAAGGUAUCACUCUAAGGUAUCACUCUAAGGUAUCACUCUUGGUAUCACUCUAAGGUAUCACUCUAAGGUAUCACUCUAAGGUAUCACUCUUGGUAUCACUCUAAUGUAUCACUCUAAGGUAUCACUCUUGGUAUCACUCUAAUGUAUCACUCUAAGGUAUGACUCUAAGGUAUCACUCUAAGGUAUCACUCUUGGUAUCACACUAAGGUAUCACUCUAAGGUAUCACUCUUGGUAUCACUCUAAGGUAUGACUCUUGGUAUCACUCUUGGUAUCACUCUAAAAUUAGAGUGCCUCCUGCGUGUGUUGUGUUAUGCCACGUGUUUCCCCGUUUGUUUAUUUCGUCAUGUGCUUGUUGUGUUUGUGUUGUCAGGCCAUGUGCGUUCUGUCAUUGUCCGGAGACUCCGCCCUCUCCUGCCCUCUGCUGCUUCCCGGUUCUUUUUCUCCCUCACCUGUUCCCUAUCAUCACCCUGGUUGUUGGCCUGAUUUGUUUCUCCUGUGUCUUGUUAAUUCCCCUUGUUUGUUUCACCUGUGU